rnacentral:rRNA from 1 species
UGGGGAAUAUUGCACAAUGGGGGAAACCCUGAUGCAGCGACGCCGCGUGAACGAAGAAGGUAUUCGUAUCGUAAAGUUCUGUCCUAUGGGAAGAUAAUGACAGUACCAUAGAAGAAAGCUCCGGCUAAAUACGUGCCAGCAGCCGCGGUAAUACGUAUGGAGCGAGCGUUGUCCGGAAUUAUUGGGCGUAAAGGGUACGCAGGCGGUUUAAUAAGUCGAAUGUUAAAGAUCGGGGCUCAACCCCGCAAAGCAUUGGAAACUGAUAAACUUGAGUAGUGGAGAGGAAAGUGGAAUUCCUAGUGUAGUGGUGAAAUACGUAGAUAUUAGGAGGAAUAACAGUAGCGAAGGCGACUGUCUGGACACAAACUGACGAUGAGGUACGAAAGCGUGGGGAGCAAACAGG